CAGGGGCCAGCCUAUGCCAGAGGACUACAGAUGAGUGAGUGAACACUGGGGCAUGUUUAUGUAGUGACUUCUAGAUAAAUGUUCAAACUGAUGCUAAAGAAAGGCUGUGUGUACAAUAUAUUUCAAUUUCCAUUAUUCUGAUAAACCCACACAGGAGGUGAAUCAAAAAUAUCUGGUUUACAUUUGGCCUUUGCUUAAUUAGGGCACUGCUUUGUGAUUGACAGUUCAUGAUUUUUCUCAUGUCUAAUCAGUGAACGUCUGAUAGUGUAGUGCUGUCUCUCUACUGUCUACUAGCUGCUGUCCAAAGUGAUGGGAAAGCCAGAGCGCUGAUUGAUCUUUGUCUUCAACUAGAAGCUGUCAAGAAGAAUUAAGUUUUUGACAAAGCAACAGUGCGUGUGUAACACUUCUUUCUCCAGGGGGAAGAAGACAAGGCCUACAGAGUUAAUCUCCUGUGAUCCGUUAAUGUGAAUCAAAGCAGACGGCCCUGGAUUUCAUCAGAUCCUUAAAAGAAAGCCAUGCAGACUAGAAAGAAG
rnacentral:lncRNA from 1 species